rnacentral:lncRNA from 1 species
CGCCGACGAGCCCGUGUCAUAGUCGCCGGUGCCGGCCACCGAUGACGUCGAUGGCAGGGUCCACGAGCCGCCCGUGUGGUGGUGGUGGACAUCGACGCGCUUGGCCUUGGCGUGCACCUGCGGCGCGCUGUCGUUGCCCGACGAGCCCGACGACGACACGCCGACGCCGCUGCUCGACUCGCCGUGCAUGGCCGACAGGCGGGUCAUGAUCUCCAUAAAGGUCGGGCGCACGGUCGGGUCCCGGUGCCAGCAGUCGUGGACGAGGUCGACAUAGGCCUGCGGAUGGGCCGCCGUCGGAUCGGCGGGCAUGAGCGGGCGCGCGCCGUCGCGGAUGACGGCCACGGCGAUGGCCGCCGGUGACAUGCCCGCAUAGGGCUGCUCGCGCGUGAGCACCUCCCAGAGGAUGAUGCCAAACGAGUAGACGUCGGCCAUCGCAUAGUCGACGUCGAGCGACUCGUCCAGGACCUCGGGCGCCAUCCAGUGCACGCUGCCGAUGGGCGCCGUGCCCGCGCCGUCGGCCAGGUCGGCGCGAAACUUGGUCAGGCCAAAGUCCGAGACCUUGACGUUCCACUUGUUGUCGAGCAGCAGGUUGAGCGACUUGACGUCGCGGUGCACGAUGCCUGUCGGAGACAACGCAUUAGGGGAAAAAAAGAAAAAAACAAAAGAAAAAGAGAGGCAAGAAAUUCGAGGCCACAGAGAGGGGGCCAAACCGGGGAGGGACGUACCCGACGAGUGCAAAAAGUAGAGCCCCUUGGAGGCCUGGUAGGCCAUCUUGGCCUUGAGCACAAAGGGCAACUCGGGGAUGAGUUCGUUGUGGAGCAACUGCACGACGCGCGCACAAGAGUGUGAAAAAAAACCCCAAAAACAAAAAAAGUGAAAAAAAACAGAAAAGAAAACCAAAAGAGUAGGAAAAAAAAAGGAGAGCGCGUGCGCACCUCGUAGAGCGAGCCGAGCGCCAUAUACUCCAUGACGAUGCACAUGUUGGGCGGCUUGGUGCACGCCGCCAUAAACAAGACCACAUUCGGGUGGCGCAGCGACGUCAUCACGCGCACCUGCAUAAAGAAAAGAAGAAAGAAAAA